GGACUUCCGAACGAAGGUGUGGAGCAUGACCGGUGGGCCGUACUGCCGUCCCAAGCACUGGAAGCGCAACACCGCCAUAGCCUUCUUAGGCGCCUUCCUCGUCUGCAUCCCUAUCGCUAUUAAAUCCGCCGAGCUCGAGGGUUCAUGUAGAACAAUGUCUGUGGCACAAAUUUGUGAAAUAUGCAGGCCUUAAUUAAGCAACGGCCUCAUUAUCCAGUUCGCCCAAUUCCUUCACAACUUUGGUGCAAGAACUUUGGCAAGAAAGAAUACUAGUUCCAUGUAUUAAGAAUACUAAUAUUUGGACUGGUUUUUCAUGUGGUUCUCAAACAGGAGUCAACUUCUUUUCCUUCUCAGAUGUCCUUUCAGCGACAUGCUCUGCUGUUGUGAUUAAGUACUUAUUUCAUAAUAUGGCUGAACAAGUGUUUAAUCCAGAAGGAUUAUUUCUUGUGGUCGCUACGGAAUAAAGACAUAUUCUGUUAACCGCAUGAACUGCAGGAUUGUGUGAGAACACUUUUUAAUGGGAAUAUGUUCUAUUUCUUGA